rnacentral:rRNA from 1 species
GAUGAACGCUGGCGGCGUGCUUAACACAUGCAAGUCGAACGAAGCACUUUAUUUGAUUUCCUUCGGGACUGAUUAUUUUGUGACUGAGUGGCGGACGGGUGAGUAACGCGUGGGUAACCUGCCUUGUACAGGGGGAUAACAGUUGGAAACGGCUGCUAAUACCGCAUAAGCGCACGGCAUCGCAUGAUGCAGUGUGAAAAUCUCCGGUGGUAUAAGAUGGACCCGCGUUGGAUUAGCUAGUUGGUGAGGUAACGGCCCACCAAGGCGACGAUCCAUAGCCGACCUGAGAGGGUGACCGGCCACAUUGGGACUGAGACACGGCCCAAACUCCUACGGGAGGCAGCAGUGGGGAAUAUUGCACAAUGGGCGAAAGCCUGAUGCAGCGACGCCGCGUGAGCGAAGAAGUAUUUCGGUAUGUAAAGCUCUAUCAGCAGGGAAGAUAAUGACGGUACCUGACUAAGAGGCACCGGCUAAAUACGUG